rnacentral:lncRNA from 1 species
GGAAGGGAGCACCGUUUUCAUACCUGGCUUGGCUUAGCUGCACGAGAGAAGAAAAGGCCGUGGCUGAAUCCAUCUCCAGGAGCAGCUGUCCCCCUGCACCGUUUGAAUUGCGAGGAAAGAGUUACAGUUUUAGAAAAGAAUACCUGACACAAUGAACAAAAACCAGAGCUUUUGAAUACAGAUUUCCAGUAAAACCAAACCCAGCUUGGGUCAGAUGCACCUUUCCAGCAACCACCAUCUCAGCAACAACCUGCCAGCUGUCAACUGGAAGUUCAGCUUCUGGGAACUUCAGCCCCCUUCUCAGAGGAGCAAGGUCCUAGCACCAACAGCACCUGCAGUGGAGCCCAAGUAUGGCUGCUUCAUGGAGAAGGCAGAUAUUGAAAUGUGAUCACUGAGGCUCAGUGGGAAUCCCUUUGCUCUCAAACUCCCCGAUGCAAUGCCUUCUGAUUUCAACAGAAAAGCAAGAGGCUCCAGGCACCCCAUUCAGGGACUGCCACCAAAGUACCCGCAAAUCCUUCAUGAAAGGGGAGACAUUGACACAUUCUUUUUUUAUUCUCUGGUAGGUAUCUGUUUGCGUGCAAAUCCGUGAGUGCUUGCAUCUCGUGUAUUUGAAAAUCCUGUUUAAGAAU